GUAGUCGUGGCCGAGUGGUUAAGGCGACAGACUAGAAUUUUCCCGCGCAGGUUCAAAUCCUGCCGACUACG